GAGUGUAACCACUCUUCUCCUUC
ensembl:miRNA mir-2209.1 ncRNA